UUUGUUAUCGUUCAACUUAGAAGUUUUAAAAGUUUUAUGUAUGACUAUUUGAAAUAUUAAAUUUAAAUCAAUAUUAAAUAUUAUUUUGAUAAAAUUGUAUGAACUAUGUAAAUUGUGAUUAUGUGUUUUUGAUUGUAAUUACAAUCUUAAUAUAUUUUCAAAAAAAAAAAAUCAAUUAUUGUAUGUACCUGUAUAUUUUUAUACCAUCUUUUGAACAACAUAAAUCAUGUCGUCGAUUAAACUUUCAGAUGAUACAAUAAAUGUUAGUGGACAACUUAUCAAACUUGAACCAAACAUACUAGCAACACAAACACUAAUUGUUACAGAUGAAGACGUAUCAUUAGAAUCAACUGAUGAACAACCUACAGCUGCUGUUAUUGAAAAUGGUAAUGUUACUGGAAUUGUUAUGGGUAAAGCCAAUGAUACAAAUAUUACCCAGUAUGAAAUUAGACCAAAUAAUAAUACUACUCAAUUUUACGUUGUUCAACCAAUAAAUGAUAUAUUUACUACAAAUACUUCUAUUAAAAGGCCUAUUGUUGUUCCAUUAAAUAAUGAAGUUUCUAGAAAUAAACGAGUAGAUCGUACUGUUGUUACUAGAGAUGCUAAAAGAAGAUUAACUCACAAUGAAGUAGAACGUCGUAGACGUGAUAAAAUAAAUCAAUGGAUAAUGUAUAUGAGCAAAAUUAUACCAGAUUGUGUUGAGGAAAAUAAAACCAAUUAUGAUAACCAGAGUAAGGGUGGUAUCCUUGCUAAGGCGUGUGAUUAUAUUAAUGAGAUAAAAUCAUCAAAUCAAAAAUUAAUGGACUGUGUAAAAGAAAUGGAGUCAAUUAAAAGACAAAAUUAUGAUUUAAGAUUGGAAAAUGAAGAACUUCGAAGACUUUUAUCUCAACAUGGACUUUUAUCAGAUAGAACAGUUUAUUUUCCUGAGUGUCAUAUAUAUUGCCGCUCACAUAAGAUUGGCUACUCAUGCUCAUUGUUGCUGUCGUAAGAAAUCAAUCUCUAAAAUAUAUGCGUUUUUGACUUAAUACAUAUCUUUAAAAUAUGGGUAAAAAUGAGCAUGGGUUACCAAACUUUACUUUUAUUUCUAGUAAAAGAUAAUCAUAUUGAAAGUAGAAUAAAUACCUUAUAUUAAUGAAGUGCUAUGGAGAACAACUUAGUCAAAAUAAAAUAAUUUUUAAAGUUAUAUUUUAUAACUAUUCAUAGAUAUUUUUAUCAAAAAUUAAAAGUAGACCAAUAGAGUUUUAUUGUUUGAAAAAUAAUCUUGAAUAUUAUGACACUUGAACUAUUGUUUCUUUUUAUUAAAUAUUAUUUUUGAGUUGGCUUAAUAAACAUAAAAAGGUAAUGUAGCCUUUGUUAUUUAGCUUAUAUUUUUAGCUGUUCUAUAAAAAUACUGUAAAUUUAAUUAAAUAAUUGAUGUAUUGUACUAUUAUAUUUUAUAAAUGUAUGUGCUUUAGUAUGAACUAAAAAGAGAAAAAAAUGAAUUCUUAUAUUACACAAAAUAAUUUACUCUUAUAGAAAAUUAAAAUUUUAUACUUACAAAAAUAAUUUUUAUCUACAAUUGUUACACAAAUUAUGUAAAAACAAAUUAGUUAGAUCUAAAUUUUCUUUCCU